rnacentral:rRNA from 1 species
UACGUAGGUGGCAAGCGUUGUCCGGAUUUAUUGGGUUUAAAGGGUGCGUAGGCGGUCUUAUAAGUCAGUUGUGAAAUACGGCAGCUUAACUGUCGAGGUGCAAUUGAUACUGUAAGACUUGAGUACUGUUGAGGUAGGCGGAAUGGACGGUGUAGCGGUGAAAUGCUUAGAUAUCGUCAAGAACACCGAUAGCGAAGGCAGCUUACUAGACUGUAACUGACGCUGAUGCACGAAAGUGUGGGGAUCAAACAGG